rnacentral:rRNA from 1 species
GAUGAACGCCGGCGGUGUGCCUAAUACAUGCAAGUCGUACGCACUGGCCCAACUGAUUGAUGGUGCUUGCACCUGAUUGACGAUGGAUCACCAGUGAGUGGCGGACGGGUGAGUAACACGUAGGUAACCUGCCCCGGAGCGGGGGAUAACAUUUGGAAACAGAUGCUAAUACCGCAUAACAACAAAAGCCACAUGGCUUUUGUUUGAAAGAUGGCUUUGGCUAUCACUCUGGGAUGGACCUGCGGUGCAUUAGCUAGUUGGUAAGGUAACGGCUUACCAAGGCGAUGAUGCAUAGCCGAGUUGAGAGACUGAUCGGCCACAUUGGGACUGAGACACGGCCCAAAACUCCUACGGGAGGCAGCAGUAGGGAAUCUUCCACAAUGGACGCAAGUCUGAUGGAGCAACGCCGCGUGAGUGAAGAAGGUUUCGGAUCGUAAAGCUCUGUUGUUGGUGAAGAAGGAUAGAGGUAGUAACUGGU